AAGUCUUCUAAGUCUUUGUGACGCAUUCGCAGGUGUGUGAGUGUGAGUGUGGAUGUGAGAGAGAUGCAAGAACUAGUUGAAGACAGUAGUAGGCAGCUCUCCUCUGGCAGGUGCAUUCUAGGUGUUUUGUAAUUGUAUAUGCAUCCAAGGUAUAUACAAUCCGGCCAUGGUACUACAUUGUAAUCAUCCAUGUGAUCGCUUGUAUAUAUACAUGGGGGCCUUUGAUAGACUAUCAUCAUAUAGCGAUUGAAUUCGCCGAAACGGCCUGCCAAAGGAGAGUUGCCCUGCGACUGUCUUUAACUCGAAGUAAUUUAAUUAGAUAGUGUUUUGUUUAGCCCCGGCCGGUUCAUAUCGAUCUCCAAGUCCAAGGUACGUUCGUCGUCACUUGAUUUUGUCAGAAUGGA
rnacentral:precursor_RNA from 1 species